rfam:Camelus ferus unplaced genomic scaffold scaffold2101, whole genome shotgun sequence.
GUGGGUAUAGCUCAGUGGUAGAGCGUGUGCCUCGCAUGCAUGAGGUCCUGGGUUCAAUCCCCAAUACCUCCC